rnacentral:rRNA from 1 species
UACGUAGGGACCAAGCGUUGUUCGGAUUUACUGGGCGUAAAGGGCGCGUAGGCGGCGUGGUAAGUCAGCUGUGAAAUCUCCGAGCUUAACUCGGAACGGUCAGCUGAUACUGCUGUGCUAGAGUACAGAAAGGGCAAUCGGAAUUCUUGGUGUAGCGGUGAAAUGCGUAGAUAUCAAGAGGAACACCUGAGGCGAAGGCGGGUUGCUAGGCUGAUACUGACGCUGAGGCGCGAAAGCUAGGGUAGCAAACAGG